rnacentral:rRNA from 1 species
GGUGAACGCUGGCGGUAGGCCUAACACAUGCAAGUCGAACGGCAGCACAGUAAGAGCUUGCUCUUACGGGUGGCGAGUGGCGGACGGGUGAGGAAUACAUCGGAAUCUACUUUUUCGUGGGGGAUAACGUAGGGAAACUUACGCUAAUACUGCAUACGACCUACGGGUGAAAGCAGGGGAUCUUCGGACCUUGCGCGAUUGAAUGAGCCGAUGUCGGAUUAGCUAGUUGGCGGGGUAAAGGCCCACCAAGGCGACGAUCCGUAGCUGGUCUGAGAGGAUGAUCAGCCACACUGGAACUGAGACACGGUCCAGACUCCUACGGGAGGCAGCAGUGGGGAAUAUUGGACAAUGGGCGCAAGCCUGAUCCAGCCAUACCGCGUGGGUGAAGAAGGCCUUCGGGUUGUAAAGCCCUUUUGUUGGGAAAGAAAAGCAGCAGGUUAAUACCCCGCUGUUCUGACGGUACCCAAAGAAUAAGCACCGGCUAACUUCGUG